GGGCUCGCUUCGGCAGCACACACCCUGAAAUGGGAACGACACAGAGACAAUCAGCACGGCACUGGUGCAAGGAUGACGUGCGGAUUCGUGAGGCGUUCCAUAUUUUC